rnacentral:pre_miRNA from 11 species
UCUUCGGAGACGAGGGUGGUCGAAAAUCCCGGGACGAGCCCCCAAAUGUAAGCCCCCCACAAAGGGAAGAUCCUCACUCAAGUCUCGGGAUGACGCGACCCCCCAAGAACUCAUGAGCCA